rnacentral:lncRNA from 1 species
AGAUUUCUGAGUUCGAGGCCAGCCUGGUCUACAAAGUUAGUUCCAGGACAGCCAGGGCUAUACAGAGAAACCCUGUCUCAAAAAAAAAAAACAAAAACAAAAACAAAAAAAAACAAAAAAAAAAAACUUCAUCUUUGCACGUGUGAUGCCGAGCACAUCUGCCACACAGGGCUACUGGCUGCACCUUUUCCAGUAUGGUUGUGGCCACAAUGCCACAAUAAUAGGAGGCCAGAGCCCCAUGAAGUAGGGAGUCCCCAGAGGGAAGAACGCUAGGAAUGUGUGCAUUCACUGAGUGUAAACAAAGGUCAGAGUUGGCAAACUCCAUUGGAUCUAGCAGAACACUGAACUGGGCGCACUCACUCAUGUCUGUACUCCUACCACCUGACGCUCCAAAGUACAAGGUCAGUCUGGGCUACAUAGCAAGACUAUCUCACAUACAGGUGGGCUAAGGGCAUGGAUAUAAAAUAUAUAAAAUUUGGGGUUCAACUACAGCACUACAGAGAGCACACUUGUGGUCUUUGGAACAUUUGUCCAAAGGGAGCCUGAGAGAUUUGACUAGGAAACAAAUGGGUAUGAAAGAUAUUUGAAGGAAUGUGUACUACUGUUAACCUCUCUACAGGGGGAGAUGGUGCGCUGACUUCUUUCUACCCUGGAACUGCAGAGAAAGCACCGCCUCACUGCUGCCACCUAGCUGGCGCCGAGGGAAGUAGCUGGCUAGCACACAGCCUGCACUGUUGGGUGUGAACCAGGGCAUCAGCUUAGUUAGAUUCCUGCAGGCCUGCCCCACACACCUGACCUCCAACUAAGCCUGGCUCUCAAAGACAGGCUGGAUAAGCACCCAGAGGCCCUAUGCAGCCUUCCCACUCAUGCCAUACUCCAUGUAAGUAAGCCAGUGCAAGCUGCACACCAAAGUCUGCUGGCAGCUACAGGGACAACAGUAACACCCAAACCCCAGACUCUGCUAGUGGAGAGUCAGUAGUUACCUCUUGGCCAGCGGAGGGUUAGCUGUUCAUGCUAUGCUGUAAAGAUGACAUCACCUAGUAAGCUACUUAGAGGCUAUCAGUGUAGGGACUCAUACAGCCUUUCUCAUUAGAGCUCCCAGCAUACAUACAGGACAGCCUAUGGCCUGCACUUCACUUGCUCAGCCUUUCCUGUAUAUCAGAGCAAGCAAUAUUAAGUAUUUCUAAGGCAUGGUGCAGGAACUUUUGUGCAAAGUUUGUGUGAGUUUUAAAAUACCCCUUUUGAAGGUAUGUAAAGGCAGUGUUCAGUGCAAACCCCUCUCAAAUGUCAAGACCAUUAGUUGGCGAGGCAUGGUAGCACACACAUUUAAUUAGCACUUGGGAGGCAGAGAAGCAGGCUAAGUUCAAGACCAACCUGGUCUACAUAGAGAGUUCUAAAAGAUUUACACAGUAAAAACUGCCUAAAAAUUAAACAACAAAAAAGACUAUGUUAAUAAGUAAUGCCUUUUAAAGUUUUGGUUACUCAACAGACUCUGAAGAUAUCCUUGCCCACACUCACAGCAAGCUCUGAUUCUUGUUUAAAGUAUUCUGUGAGACUUGCAUAGAGCCACUCAAGGAAAACCAGUACUAUGAGGGACUCUUGGCACCUUGCCCUCAGGUUUCUCGGGGUGUUUUUCUUAGGGGAACUGGCUGGAGCAUACGCUGCUUCAGGUCCAGGAGCCUAGCUCUAACAGCGGGGCUGGACUUGAGUGCAGAGCAGCCCAGCUACCCAUAUCUCUAGCGACCUCACUGUAUAUAGCAUGAGACUCCAGGUAGCUCCAUGACUGUAUUUCUGUACUGGUAAGGAGGUAGCCCAUCAGUAGAGUUAAAAGUGGGACAGUCCAAAACUAAAGGACUUCAGGGCCUCUCCAGUUUCGCAUGGGUCACAGGUCAGCCUGGAGCAGCUUCCAUUGUGGGGCAGGACCUCAUUGCUGGCAUUUGCCAUAAAGAGAUACCACUGUUAAGAAUCCUAGCCACACAAGCCCACUCCAGCUUGCCACAGCUGACAUGCCAUUGGCUCAUCUCUCCUUUACAAGGUAGUCAGACCACACAUCUAAUUUUAUUUGAGCAAGCUAUAGAUUGUAAAGAACACUAAAUUCACUAUUAUGUUUUGUUUCUAUCACAAACUUUGAUAUAAAUGAAUUUUAAAUCAUUUUAAGAUUUACCUUUGAUAUUAAUGCUUUAAUUCCAGGAUCCAAAACCAGUUCUGUGGUUACUAACUAAUGUGGCUUCAUGCAGGUUUGCUGUGUAGAAUAUUAAGAACCGCAGUCACAGUGGCUCCUUGACAAUCAGAACUCUAGGUGACCUUCCAUUACUGCUGCUUGACUGGGGGUGGGGUGCGUGUUUGUGAACAGGGCGCCUGGCAGGGCCUCUUAUAUCUCGACAGAAACAGGCUUGUACUAACUCACCUGCUAUUUAGGUAUUUUGUCAGAACAAAAUAGUCAAUCCAGCUGCCAACUAAAAAUUACAUGUAGAAGGUAAUGGAGCCUCACUGAGCCAGAGAGGCUUCAAGCACAGCUUCUCAGAGCCAGUUCAGGCCUCUGUGUGUAUGCACAGGGUGUGGCUUCCUGCAGACAACAUGUCCCCCAACUCCUCAUUCCAAGAUCUUAUGGUUCAGUGUAAGGCAUUUCCUACAAAGUUUGUGGUCAGGUUCGCUAUAAUUGAAAUGUUAAUUUGUAGAAAUAUUUAUUCCUUUGUGUGACAAGCUAGAGUCCUUGGCUGUAGCUCACCAUUUUUACUGUGUAAAUACUGCUUGGUUUUACAUGAACUGUAUCAUAAUAAACUAUUUUUGCAUUGCCCUCUGCAUGCAUAUGGCUGCUGACUUUGCCAGUCAAAGAGCAGAACCUAAAGCCCUGAGUUGUAAAGGUACUAGAGACCAGAAUGGGAUAGAUAGAACCUGCUGCUCUCUCUACAAUGGUCCUCUGAGUUGUUUUCAGGAUAUUUACAUUAGAUUUCACAUUAAAAGGGAUAUUUUACAUUUUCACAUAUAAGCCAUAAUAUUUUGUGUCUAAAGUCUUUGGUACUUUGGACUUGGUAUAGAAACUUCAAGGGUUAGUUAAAACAACAGCAAAAAUUCUGAAGGGGAUUCCUUCAUUAAUCAAGAUACUAUAACUCUUCAUUGUAGCUGUCUUGUGUUUUUAUUUCUGUGGUGCUGGAGUUGGAGCCCAGGGCCUCAGGCAUGCUAAGCAGUGCCUCUACCACGUGAGCUUAUGGAGUUACUGCUCAGACUGGCCGCCGCCUCUCUAGUUCAGUGAGUACUAGUGUGCACCACUAUAGCUGGCCUGUCCUUCAUGGAUUUACUUGUGAUAUAAUUCUGUCUCAUUUUUUGUUUUGUUUCAAAGCAUCAUAACCUAAAAAAAGACAACCCAAAAUAACAGUGUUCCCUAAUUGUGGAAUAUCCUUGAUGGUUCUAUUUCAUUUUUUGUUCAUUAAGCUUAGAAUAAUAAAAUUGGCCAGACAAAUGGCUACCAACCUGGUGAUUCCAGCACACGAGGGGCUCAGGUCAGAGGAUUCAGUUUGAGGCCAGCCUGGGUUACACAGCAAAAUCCUGUCUGUCCUCAUAGUCUCCCAAAAGGUAAGAUAAUAACUGGGUUUUUCACUAUUGUCACAAACCUUAUAAUGAAAGUAUGUGGAACUGACUAGAAAUACAAAAAUUGUUUCUACUAAUGAGAAAUCAACGUAAGUUUUUUAUGAAACAGC